rnacentral:rRNA from 1 species
UUGAACGCUGGCGGCAGGCCUAACCCAUGCAAGUCGAACGGUAACAGGAAGAAGCUUGCUUCUUUGCUGACGAGUGGCGGACGGGUGAGUAAUGUCUGGGAAACUGCCUGAUGGAGGGGGAUAACUACUGGAAACGGUAGCUAAUACCGCAUAACGUCGCAAGACCAAAGAGGGGGACCUUCGGGCCUCUUGCCAUCGGAUGUGCCCAGAUGGGAUUAGCUAGUAGGUGGGGUAACGGCUCACCUAGGCGACGAUCCCUAGCUGGUCUGAGAGGAUGACCAGCCACACUGGAACUGAGACACGGUCCAGACUCCUACGGGAGGCAGCAGUGGGGAAUAUUGCACAAUGGGCGCAAGCCUGAUGCAGCCAUGCCGCGUGUAUGAAUAAGGCCUUCGGGUUGUAAAGUACUUUCAGCGGGGAGGAAGGGAGUAAAGUUAAUACCUUUGCUCAUUGACGUUACCCGCAGAAGAAGCACCGGCUAACUCCGUG